AUUGAACGCUGGCGGCAGGCUUAACACAUGCAAGUCGAGCGGGGAAAGGUAGCUUGCUCCCUGACCUAGCGGCGGACGGGUGAGUAAUGCUUAGGAAUCUGCCUAUUAGUGGGGGACAACAUCUCGAAAGGGAUGCUAAUACCGCAUACGUCCUACGGGAGAAAGCAGGGGACCUUCGGGCCUUGCGCUAAUAGAUGAGCCUAAGUCGGAUUAGCUAGUUGGUGGGGUAAAGGCCUACCAAGGCGACGAUCUGUAGCGGGUCUGAGAGGAUGAUCCGCCACACUGGGACUGAGACACGGCCUAGACUCCUACGGGAGGCAGCAGUGGGGAAUAUUGGACAAUGGGGGGAACCCUGAUCCAGCCAUGCCGCGUGUGUGAAGAAGGCCUUUUGGUUGUAAAGCACUUUAAGCGAGGAGGAGGCUACCGAGAUUAAUACUCUUGGAUAGUGGACGUUACUCGCAGAAUAAGCACCGGCUAACUCUGUG
rnacentral:rRNA from 1 species